GUUGCGGUGGCUGAGGGGUAAAGCGCUUGGCUUACGAACCGAGAAAUCCCGGGUUCGAAUCCUGGUGAAGACU
rnacentral:tRNA from 1 species